ACGACCUUACUUGAACAGGAUCUGUUCUAUAGGCUCGUACCUCUGUAUCCUUGAUUUCUAAGGAGACAGGUCCCUAAACCUGGUUGAUGAAUCAUGGCCGUGCGAUCUGAGUGUGAUUAACGGUUAAGAUUCUCCUCGGAGUCUCUGCAGCUGUAGAGGAUCGCUAUCUGGUUAAGUCUUGACUUCUCCGGAGUGGUCGCACGGUUGUCUGACAGGCC